rnacentral:lncRNA from 1 species
UUAAACAUAGAAAAAAAUAAAAUUUGCUAUAUCGUAUUGAUAGAUAAAAAUCUCUUAAAACAUAGACUUAGGCCUAUGUAAAGAGAACAUUAGUCUACACAACAAAAAAGAGAUUACACCCUCCCCUAAAAAAAACGAGAACGGUGCUCCUCUCCUCUCUUCAACAGCGAAUGGCCAACUUCCCUCCAUGAAAGCUCACCUCUCACUCUCACUCUCAAAUGGAAUAUACACAGAGAGAAACACCAACGAGUUAAAAAAUAAACUUUUUUUCAAAUCUCAAAGAAAACAAAACAGAUCUAAAUCCGAAGAAAAAGAAAGUGUUCCGAACAAAAAUUUAAAAAAACGAAGAAGAAGAAGAAGAAACUGGAAUUACAGGGAUUGACUUUGAUUUCUCUUGGCUUAGCGUUGAUUUUCUCGGUUUGGUUGAAUUAUUUUGCUGAUGUUCUUCUCUGCUGGGCUUGAGCUUCGAAUCCUCUAUUAUCGGACCUUUACUCGGUCAGUGUUCUGCCAUUAUUUUGUUAUUAGCAGUAGAUAAUUGGCUGUACACCUUCCAUGGAGGCUCAGUUUCCUUUAAUCUAAAAGAUAGUUGCUCUAAAGGCUAUUCUUGUUCAUCUCUUCGCUGCGAUUCUUUAUGUGUAAUUUAGAGUUUCUGUUCAUAUAUAGAAAUGGAGUGCCAUGUGAUAAUAGUUGAAAGUGCAGUUUUUAUAAGUAUGUUAGUUAAAUGGGUGUAUAAACAAUGGUUUACAUGCUUUAUUUUUUGGAUGCCUCACAUUCUGCUGAUUGUUUUAAUUUACUCUUUCACUAUCUGUUCUCUUCCUUUUCCUUCAAUGCCCGAGUUGUCUCUGCUUGAUUAAAUGUUAAACUUGGCAACUCUAGUUUAAUAUAUUUCUAAUACUUAAUGUUAAAAAUAUGCUUUUUUGGUAGUCCAUUUCUGAAAUUCCUAAAGUCAGAUUUUCAUUUUGCACUUUAUUUUGUGCUAGCUUAGGAGAAUAUGCUUGAAUAAAUUAUGCCGGUACAUUUCUUGGGAGUUGAAAUUUUGGCGUCUUUGGAUUUUUAAGAUUCUGAAUAAGAUGCUUAGUUUUAUUGUUGAAAUACUUUGAAUAUUUAUGAUUUGAAAUGUAAAGCUAAUUGUAGUAGUGAUAUGAAAGGGUAUAUGUUUAAAAAUUAUUUUGUGAUAGAGAAGUUUCCCUUAAAAUUGCACAUUGUUAAGAAUGGGACAUGAAUAGAUUAUAUAUACAUGCAUGCACACGGACAAUAGGGUGUAUUGACCUAAGCCAUAUUGAAGUUGAAUAAAGAAACAUCAAACUUUGCGGCAAAUAUAAUUGGUAAAUACGCAAGCAAUUCUUUCGAAAGCAAUAAGCUCUUUUAUUUCAAUAAAUCCAUCUGAAUAAUUUAUAGCCAUCAAAAUUAAAUCUAGAAACUCUUUUGUUAGAAUAAUUUGAGGCGUGUCGUGCCAAAUUAAAUCACAAAAUUCAUAGCCCUCACUUAAUUUUAAUCUUUUAGAAAUCGAGGUGUGUCAUUUAGUUGAAUUUUCUAUAGUCCUCGCAAAUUUGAAAGUGCGUAGCUGCUUUAAGCGCUUUAUUUUACAAUUAAUUUCCUAAAUUGGGUGCGCACUUUAUGUGACUAAAAUGUGUUUCGGAUUGCGAGCGCAUUUCAUGUGAUGCGAUCCAGUUACAUGUUUUAAAUGAAGUUAAAUCUUAUUUAAAAUUAAUUAGAGGCGGUUAAUAGUUUAAAAUAGCACCAUAAGUUAAAACAUGUUUUAAAAAAAUCAGAUAAUAGGCCAAUUAGGAUAGUUUAAGCGACUGCGCUAGAACCACGGAAUCCUAGGGUGCCUAACACCUUCCCUUGGGUUAACAAAAUUCAUUAUUCAGAAUUUCUGGUUCGCAGACUUCAAAGGGAAAGUCGAAAUUUCCUUGAUUUGGGAUUUAAAAUAAACCGUUGACUUGGUACGCCAUAAAUCAAUCCAUGCCAAGUGGCGACUGUGAAUAAAAUUGAAUAAAUAAUCUCAUUUUGAAUAAUGUCACUUAAAUUGAAAAAAUUCUCUUGUACUACCUUUGGGUGGUGUAAAAAAGGAGGUGUGACAAGUUUUGAACGUCGUCUCGGAAAGUCCAAAAUUUGAAUCUUCAACUGAUGACACCCUGACCUCAAAUAAAUCUUCAAAACACUCUAACACCCCGAAGCUUAUCAAAUAAGUCAUUAAUGCGCGGUAGUGGGUACUCGUUCUUAAUUAUAACUUUAUUUUUAGUUGCUUGUAGUCAAUGCACAUCCUCAUAAUACCAUAAUUCUUCUUCACAAAUAGAACCGAUGCACCCCCUAGUGACAUACUGGGAUCUACCCCUUAACUCUAGUUGUGACCAUAUGGGCUCAGGUUAACCUUUAUUGACUUUUGGAAAUUGAAUAAAGAACGAAACUUUAUUGUUUGAAAAUGAUUUCUAUAGACUUGUCUGACAUUUUUAGUUGGUUUUUCAAGCUUUGACCCAUUCAGAGACCAAUUCGAGAGGCAAGUGAUUUUUAGAGUAUUAAAUUUUCACUUAUUUGAGGUAAAUAUCUUUCCUAGGCUUUCUUUAAAAGUAUUUUCUCGUAAGCUAUGAUGUUUUCUGUAUGUUGGGGGUGACACAUGUGAGAGGUGGCGAUCACAUGUGCGGCCACUGUGGUUACUCAUGAUCUGAAAAGGCUUUAGGUUAUUAUAUGUUUUGUUGCUAUUAUGUUUACUGAUAUCAUAUUUUCUCCACCUGUAUGAUAAUAUGAGAUAUUAUUCAUACAAAAAUUGUGUCUAGGUUAUUUCUUAUCUCUUUGAAACAUGAUAUGACUAUUUUUGCUAUGCUGAGCUAUUUGCUUUAACCGUAAUUAUAUUUUUCAAUCAUGAUACUAUAUGCGUGUUAUAUUUCUAUCUCUAUGUAUUCUUUAAAUGUUAUCUCACAUUUUUUUAAUAUCUUUGUGUGAAUGAUAUGGAUUUGAGUUAAGUUUACGUUAGUAUAUUCCACACGGUGUUUUGAUUAUGAUACUACAAGGUAUUGGUAUAUUGAAACUUGAUAAUUUAUGGUUGAUUUUGGGCCAUAGAGUCAUUUUAAGCGGAUCGGUGAUUAAUAUUGGGCAAUCUAGUCGUAUUGAAAUUGAUAGCAAGGUGAUGCUUGCAUCAAGGCUACCAUAUUGGCUGAGUGAUAUUGACGGUUAACUUGAUCCGAUCAACACUUGGAUUAGGAUUCUUUCUUUCCGAGUCAAGCAAUAACCAAUGCUACUUUGGGCCUUGCAAGUGCAGGCACACGAGAUAUGCUUAGAGAGAGACUUAUGGCAAGCAAACCUACAAUGCUAAGUAUGUGUGUGUGAUGAGUCACAUGUAUUAUACUAGGAACCGUGAGGGUGAUAAGAAUAUGAUUGAGGGGUAUUUAUGCCAGACACUAUGAAUAUGUUGAGUUUGUGCAUAAUUGAUGAUUAAACAGUAAUGUUGAUUGUGGUAGGUAUAUUUGACAUAUAGGUAUAGAGUUAUAUUCUCCUCAUGCUAACUGCUAUUUGAUGUCUUUAUUUGAUGUUUAGAGCUUGAAAUCAUAGUUUACUUGAAUAGAUCUCUAUCUAGGUGAUUUAUGUGAAAAGGUUGAUGCCUUUACUGAUUUACCUGAAAAGCAUGCUUAUUUCUCAUAUUAUUGUGUUAGAGUUGACCCGAUAUUAUCUAAGUUGUUUUUCUUAUAACUAUUAUUAUGUUGCUAUUGUUAUUGUAGUUGUUGAAUAUGAGUGUCAGACUUUGCUUAACCUCGUCAGUGCUUUCACCGGGGUUAGCUUGCUACUUACUGAGUACAUGUGAUCGAUUGUAUAUACUCACACUAUACUCUGCAUUGUAUGUCUAGUUCAAGAGUUGGACCAAGUUGAGUAUUGUGACCUGAGUGGUAUUGUGCGAUUGAGAUCGAGGUAAAUUUGCUUCCAAUCGUAGUCCCUAGCGUCUCUUCAUAUCUUUCAUUAUUAUUAUUAUUUCAGACCAUAUUUAGAUUACAGACAUGUAUUCGUAC